UGAAUUUGGUUGUCAGCCAACUUGUAUUAUUAUUGAAAGUCUCUUAAGAUCAAGUUUCAUAGCCAGAAACAAAAGUGCCGAUGGUCAGUCAUGCAUUUAGGAUUUGAUAUCGGAAGAUUCUUUCAACUGCUGGCUGCAGGAGCUUGGAGACAGAACCCUUGACUUCUUCUAUGGGAGAGUGAGAUGCUGUGAACUGUUCAACCCAGAUACCAUUAAAAAUGUAGAAGUGAUAUCAGAGGGAUCAUAAUCAGUUGGAGAGACAUUGGCAGG
rnacentral:lncRNA from 1 species